GGCGCUGAGUCGAAUGGUCUUGGUCCGAAGUCUCUACGACGAAGCGUUCUUGAGAUAUUUCACUUUGAAAUUGCAAAAACGGGGGCCGCGCCCUGACGUCAUGCGGCCAUUUGGUUACAUCAUCACGGGCUGCCUACGUCAUUGUGGCAAAGUCGUUUCUCUUCGCCAGUCUACAAGCACUAAUUUUAGUUGGUAUUUCAAGGGAAGAUGGGCGAUUCCGAACAAUCCUCUGUCCCCAGCAAUGAAGGCAGCGAUGCUGAGGCCAGUGAGGACGACCAACAGCCCACCGCCGCGUAUGGUUGGGGCAGGGAGCCCAGAUACUCUGCUGAGGAGCUGCCAUCGCGUGUAACAAAUGUGGAGGAAGAAGAUGCGUCAGCAGCUGCGUCCGACAGAAGACGAGUAGCUUGGCCACCAGAAUCUCGAUUCGUUUGGGACUCCGACUGGUGCGAGCGUGGACAAAAGUGUAUAGCCAUGCCCAGCCCGCGGGAAUGAUUUUGCUGGUAGGAUGCUGCCGUCGCUGUCGACAAGACGGCCCAAGGUUUCUUGCGUAGCGGACCUCGCAGAUUACGAGAUCGUAUCCUUGCAUUAGCCUCAGGCUGUGCUCAUCACUGCUCUUCGAGGUUAUCUCCACAUGCAGAAGCCGCCAAUGCCAGUGACAGAAGAGUCUGACAUUAGAUCUCUACGCUAUGCGGCACACAGGCAGUACACACUAUGUACACGGCAAAUUGGGCAAGCACGUUCGUUGUCGUCUUCCAGCCUGCGUUGUGAAUACCAUCAGGCAAAGAUAUCCAAAUCCUGCACCACCUCAGCCUUCUCAGGAGGCUUCCACCUGGAAUUUGGCAGGGAAACACGCUUCUCCAAGGCAGGAACAUGGAGGUUGCCAUUUGCAACCGCUACCACCUCACACAUGAGCUUGUCAACAUACUCAUAGCUCUUUCUGUCGUAUAAUUUUCUAUUUGGCCACAGUCUUCUUUAUGCUUUGAGAACUGGACUUUAUACCUUCC